GUCCACACCGUAAACGAUGAAUGCUAGGUGUAGGGGCGCAAGCUUCUGUGCCGCAGCUAACGCAAUAAGCAUUCCACCUGGGGAGUACGGCCGCAAGGUUGAAACUCAAAGGAAUUGACGGGAGCCCGCACAAGCAGUGGAGUAUGUGGUUUAAUUCGACGCAACGCGAAGAACCUUACCAGGUCUUGACAUCCUGAGAACCCGGCGUAAAUGGCUGGGGUGCCCUUCGGGGAAUUCAGUGACAGGUGGUGCAUGGUUGUCGU
rnacentral:rRNA from 1 species